ensembl:lncRNA
GAGCACGAGUGAGCAGGGGAGGGUCAGUGAGGAGGAAACCGACAGGGAUGCUGCUGGUCCUUCUCGCUAAGAAUUCCUAAAUCCGCUUCCUCCUUCUCGGGUCCUCGGCCGGUGCAUCUCAAUAGGCGGUCCCGCCGGUUGUGCUGGGCUGCGAGGAGAUGUCCCCUUCUCCACGUAGCCAUUUAGCACGGCUCACUGACCCUGCGGGCCAGCCUGGGGCUGGGAACUGCCUCUGUCCCACCGUGGGGACAGGCCGACCCUGCAGGCAAAGGACAAGCAGCUGCGAAGAUUGUCCCGGGGCAGGGUCCCAGCACCGCUGCUGCGGAUUAGUUUGCCGGUCCCUGAAGUGUGGGUGUCUGCCUCAGGCUCCCCGGAGCAGCGUGCCCCCUGACACAGCCUUCCCAGGUAAAUGGCUCACUUAGGUCCUGAAGCCAAGCUGGGACUCACCGUGGCCCCCGGGCCCAGAAGGAAGCCAAAGCCGCUAACAUCCUCCUGCUGCACCAGCCCACAGGGAGAGGGAAGUGGAGCCCCAGCCAAGCCAGGGCAUCCUCCGCACCCUGUACCCCGCUUCCCCCUCCCCCUCCCUCUCCCUGUCCCCACUCCUCCAUCCUCCCCCCUCUCCCAGGGGCUCCUCCCAGGCCUGCCCCUUCUCUGCCCUGCAGGCUCCUCCCUAGGAAGGUGUCCUUGUUCACCUGGAACUGCAACUCCUGCAGCAACCUGCGUGGCCACUUUUGAGAAUUCCCUGCAUGAUUUGAAAGCUAUUUGCAAAUAGAAGGUAUAUACCCAUAAGAAUUGAAGAUAGGAAUUGGAACAAAACUUGUACACAAAGGAUCCUAGCCAGGAGGAGGCCCUCCUGUCUCCACCGCCCCCCCAAUCCCCCCCACCC